rnacentral:rRNA from 1 species
CCUACGGGUGGCAGCAGUGGGGAAUAUUGGGCAAUGGGCGCAAGCCUGACCCAGCCAUGCCGCGUGAAGGAAGAAGGCUUUCGGGUUGUAAACUUCUUUUCUCAGGGACGAAGGAAGUGACGUUACUUAAGGAAUAAGCCACGGCUAACUCCGUGCCAGCCGCCGCGGUAAUACGUAGGGGGCACGCGUUAUUCGGAUUUACUGGGGGGAAAGGGCGGGUAGGCGGGACUGCAAGUCAGAUGUGAAAACCAUGGGCUCAACCUGUGGCCUGCAUUUGAAACUGUAGGUCUUGAGUACUGGAGAGGCGGACAGAAUUCCAAGUGUAGCGGUGAAAUGCGUAGAUAUUAGGAGGAACACCAGUGGCGAAGGCGGUCUGCUGGACAACGACUGACGCUGAGGCGCGAAAGCGUGGGGAGCAAACAGGAUUAGAUACCCGGGUAGUC